rnacentral:rRNA from 1 species
AUUCCAGCUCCAAUAGCGUAUAUUAAAGUUGUUGCGGUUAAAAAGCUCGUAGUUGGAGUUCUGCCAGGUGACGCUCGUCCGCCCAAGUGGUGUGUACAGGGCGUGCAUCUGGCCCUUUCAAGGGGAACGUGUCUGCUCUUUAUUGAGUGGUGCGAGAUCCUUGACUUUUACUUUGAGGAAAUCAGAGUGUUCCAAGCAGGCUCUCGUCGUGUAUAGCUCAGCAUGGAAUAAUAGCAUUAGACUUCGUUUCUAAGCUGUUGGUUGCAAGAAGCGAGGUAAUGAUGAAGAGGGAUAGUUGGGGGCAUUCGUAUUUAACUGUCAGAGGUGAAAUUCUUGGACCGUUUGAAGACAAACUACUGCGAAAGCAUUUGCCAAGAAUGUUUUCAUUG